GACGAACGCUGGCGGCGUGCCUAAUACAUGCAAGUCGAGCGAGUCUGCCUUGAAGAUCGGAGUGCUUGCACUCUGUGAAACAAGAUACAGGCUAGCGGCGGACGGGUGAGUAACACGUGGGUAACCUGCCCAAGAGAUCGGGAUAACACCUGGAAACAGAUGCUAAUACCGGAUAACAACAGAUGAUGCCUAUCAACUGUUUAAAAGAUGGUUCUGCUAUCACUCUUGGAUGGACCUGCGGUGCAUUAGCUAGUUGGUAGGGUAACGGCCUACCAAGGCGAUGAUGCAUAGCCGAGUUGAGAGACUGAUCGGCCACAUUGGGACUGAGACACGGCCCAAACUCCUACGGGAGGCAGCAGUAGGGAAUCUUCCGCAAUGGGCGAAAGCUUGACGGAGCAACGCCGCGUGAGUGAUGAAGGUCUUCGGAUCGUAAAACUCUGUUAUUAGGGAAGAACAAAUGUGUAAGUAACUAUGCACGUCUUGACGGUACCUAAUCAGAAAGCCACGGCUAACUACGUG
rnacentral:rRNA from 1 species